AAUAUAUACGAUGAAAAGCAGGAGGUCUUCCAGAGGGAAGCAGAGGGAUUUGAGAAGCUAGCACGGGCUAGAGGGGAAGGCUCUUCUUCAAGUUCAGCAAACGUGCAAUCCGAUUACUCCAUGGCCAGUGACUUCAAUCUUAAUGAAAUACAAGCAACAGAUUAUACUUCGAACAAUAUGAGGUCAUGAAAGAAGUUACAUGUUAAAUAAUGGUCCUUUAAAGGCAACAUUAAACUUAUACUAUUUGUGUUUUUGAUGCUUAGGAGCAACAACAAGAUAGUGUGCAUAAGGAAGGUGGGCAUGAAAGAGGUACUUUAGUCGUUGGAUAGAGAAUUUACUAAAUCAACAAUGAAUGGAGAACCUUGAUUGUCCGGGAAAUUAGCUCUCAGUUGUAUGAUUUGAGCUAGAAGUCGGGCAAAUGCUACAUUUCGAGUAGGUAAAAGACUCGCAUGUGACCACCUUGAGGAUACGUCAAUUAAGACCAAGAAUUAACGGAAUGGACCACACGGAGGGUGAAUAGGCCCACAAAUAUCCCCUUGGAUUAUUUCUAAAAAUGAUGGGGUUUCAUGUAUCAAUUUAGUUUGUGAGGGCCAAGUAAUAAAUUUGCCCAGAGAGCAUGCUGCACAUGAUAAGUCUUGUGGUAGCAAAACUUUUAAGUUUUUAAGAGGGUGCCCGGUUGCACUUUUGAUUAUUCGUCUCAUCAUUAUGCUACCAGGGUGACCUAAACGGUCAUGCCAUAUAUUGAAUGUGUCUUUAUCUAACAGCUUUUGGUUACUCAACAUGUAUGAUUCCAUAGGAUUGAUAUUAGUACAAUAUAAUCCAGAGGA